rnacentral:misc_RNA from 1 species
AAGGAGCACAUGGCAGCUUCGGGCGAAUGUCCCGGAGUGCUUGCUCAUGGGUGGAACGUUGACUAUUCGGCACAGGAAGUGAACAGAGAGCUCAGUACUGCUCUUGGCGCCGGAAGAGAUUCUGGAUGCAGUGUGUCGGGCACGUUGUUGGGUCCUGAGGGAACGGGUAAUCGUUGCCUCAUGGAGUGCCGGUCCCAUGCCGGGCGUCCCUGUCUUGGGGGUGUUCGGGUUUGGGUGUCUGGUCGUUGUUUGAGAACUGCACAGUGGUCGCGAGCAUCUGU